rnacentral:lncRNA from 1 species
AAUUGCCCUCAUCUUUACACUAGAUCUUCUCCUCGACCCCCUCUUCCCAAAUAUGCAACUACUUAUCCUCAAACCCCUAUAGAACUUUUCAAAUUUCAGAUCAAAGGAGGUAGAACCCUAGCAUUACCCACUUUCUCCGGAAUCGGUGCCACCUCCGUUCACCACCAAAAUUACACCCCAUAAGAUCCAUAACUCCUUCAUCCCAAAUCUCCAUUUAGUUUCCUCUAAAUACCCCUGAAACCUCUUCAAUAUAGAUUUGAAAAGACAAAACCUAAAAUCCCAAAGGUCCAAAUCAGCAAGGUUUUGAGGAUUUGAGGUCGAAAUCGAGUUUAAUUGUGUGUUCUUAGUCGAGACACAAUUAAGGUCUAUCUCAUCAUAAGUUCGAGGAUUUAGUGAGGUUGAUCUCAAGAUGUUUGUCCGUUAGUCUUGGGAGGUAUGCCCGGUUUUCUUUUUAUUUUUUUUUCUUUUGUUGUUAUUAUCUGCUUUUAUGUUUUUUUCUUCUUCCUUUUUGUUUUCCUAAAAAUCGUUCUAGUUUAGUAGGGGUUAAUUGCUAUUAUUUCUUAUUUUUACUUAGUUUAGUUGGACUCCUUGUUUUAGUUUUUGUUCAAUUUCUUCUUUUGUUAAGUUUUCGGCUAAGUUGACAAUACUUGGUCCAACGGUCUAGUGAAUUCUUCUACCCGUCCAUUUUCAACCUAGUUGAUUUUGGGAACUAGAUUUUUCUUGGGUCCAAAGGAAAAGGGGGCAGCCCCGACAUAGAAUUGAAACAUUGAGUCUACUUGACCUAGGUAAUAUGUUGAGAGUAAUAUUCAGGGGGCUUGAGAGGUAAUUUGGGUAGUUUACUUAGCGAAUCUCUGAAUAACUACCUUAGAAAGCUUCUUAGAAGCUGAAAAUAGCCUUACUUCGUAAUCAAGGCAAUAAUCUACGGAUUUCUAAGCAAAAAACGAAAAUUAGAAGGGUCUAAAGGGCAAAACUCAAGCUAUUUAUGCUGCCCUAAUGGCUUGCCUAUAAAGGCAUUGCUAAUGAGAGCUAGAAUGAGACUUGGAGAGAUAAAAAUAUACAGAAAAUAUAAACGGCGGAGCUCUUUUACUAUUUCAUUGAAUUUCUUUAGUAAUAUUUGAUUUGUUCGAUUUCUAAAACAAUUUGGACUCAUCUGAGUGUAGAAUGGGUUGAAUUUGGUCUUUUGAAAUUGGUUUUUGAAGUUAGCUUCAGUACUGUUCGAUGGGGAGCUGUUUUGGAUUGUUUUAAAUUAUUUUCUGGUUGAACUGGGUAGUUGGUAUUGAUUCUUGCCAUAUUGUUGUUGUUGUUUAUUGCUUCUCACCUCUUUUUCUUCUUUGCAAAUUCCAGGUACAUGCUCUAAACCCUGAAUAAUAUGAAUUGCUUGAUUUGAAGGGUGAAAUCGAAAUGGAUGUUUUGAGCUUGGCCUUGGUUUGUUAUUCAUUAUUUAGUUUAUCUCUUUCUGUUUUUCUUCCUCUGAAUUUCUAGUCUAUGAAUCUGAAGAAAGAUUUCUUGUAUUUCAUAGGGGUGUGGUAUCUUACUUGCUUUGAUAACCAUGCAAUGUAAAGAUUGAAGUUAAUUUGUGUGUUGUAGGAGUCAUGUAACAUAUUAUGUCCGCUUUCAGCUUUUCCUUCUCGUCUUUUACUACUUAAAGGAAUAAGUCCAUGUGCUUGAAAGUUCGAGUGUAGUUUUAAGUCUCUAAACAUGUAUAUUGUGUUCGAUUGGAAUUCUGGUAAUGUUGAAGAGAAACUGGUUGAUUUUAACUUGCUAGGUAAUGGACCGUAUGAGAGUCAUGUGGGGAAAAUUGAAAUUUGUCAAGUUUUCUUUAGGAAUAAAGGCUUUGUUAUCAAUUCAAUGGUGGUUAUGCAUGAACCUGAUGUUUGGCUAUCAGAGUGUUUAAUUAUGCUCAUUUAUGUUGAUUAAAUUGAAAUUCGAAAGUAAGGUUAUUACUUCAGUGGUAUAUUUUGAUUGGAUUUGCAAUUGUAUCUAUGCUAAUGAAUGAAUUUAUAAAUUAGAGCUUGAGUUAGCUUAGCAGAAAGAAGCCUUUCUUCGGGCUCAUUUUGUGCAUCAGGAGUCUUUGAUGCCAUUUGUUUGUAAGAAUUAAGCUCACCUUGGGCCCAAGUUUGGAAUGAAUUGUAAGAACUG